UAUCAACGCUGGCGGCGUGCCUCAGACAUGCAAGUCGAACGCGAAAUCCCGAGCAAUCGGGAGAGUAGAGUGGCGCACGGGUGAGUAACACGUAGGUAAUCUACCUUCGGAUGGGGAAUAACAACCGGAAACGGUUGCUAAUACCGCAUAAUGCAGCGGCACCUAAUGGUGACAGUUGUUAAAGCGGGGGAUCGAAAGACCUCGCGUCCGAAGAGGAGCCUGCGGCGGAUAGCUAGUUGGUAAGGUAAUGGCUUACCAAGGCUUCGAUCUGUAGCUGGUCUGAGAGGACGGCCAGCCACACUGGCACUGACACACGGCCAGACUCCUACGGGAGGCAGCAGUGGGAAUUUUGGGCAAUGGGCGCAAGCCUGACCCAGCAACGCCGCGUGAGGGAGGAAAUCC
rnacentral:rRNA from 1 species